UGCGUAGGUGGUAUCGUGUGUCGGAUGUGAAAUCCCAUGGCUCAACUGUGGAACUGCAUUCGAAACUGCGGAACUAGAGUACAGGAGGGGAGAGCGGAAUUCUUGGUGUAGCGGUGAAAUGCGUUGAUAUCAAGAAGAACACCGGUGGCGAAGGCGGCUCUCUGGAAUGUUACUGACACUGAGGCACGAAAGCUGGGGGAGCGAACAGGAUUAGAUACCCUGGUAGUCC
rnacentral:rRNA from 1 species